rnacentral:rRNA from 1 species
GAUGAACGCUAGCGGCAGGCCUAACACAUGCAAGUCGAGGGGCAGCAUUAAACUAGUUUACUAGUUUAGAUGGCGACCGGCGCACGGGUGCGUAACGCGUAUGCAACCUACCAUUAACAGGGGGAUAAUUCGGAGAAAUCUGGUCUAAUACCCCAUACUAUCUAGAUAGGCAUCUAUCUAGAUUGAAAGCUCCGGCGGUUAAUGAUGGGCAUGCGUUGUAUUAGUUUGUUGGUGAGGUAACGGCUCACCAAGACUACGAUACAUAGGGGGACUGAGAGGUUUACCCCCCACACUGGUACUGAGACACGGACCAGACUCCUACGGGAGGCAGCAGUGAGGAAUAUUGGUCAAUGGACGCAAGUCUGAACCAGCCAUGCCGCGUGCAGGAUGACGGCCCUAUGGGUUGUAAACUGCUUUUGUAUGAGAGUAAACUUAGAUACGUGUAUCUAACUGAAAGUAUCAUACGAAUAAGGAUCGGCUAACUCCGUGCCAGCAGCCGCGGUAAUAC